GACUGACACUCCUACGGGAGGCAGCAGUGGGGAAUCUUAGACAAUGGGGGCAACCCUGAUGCAGCCAUGCCGCGUGUGUGAAGAAGGCCUUCGGGUUGUAAAGCUCUUUCGCCAGGGAUGAUAAUGACAGUACCUGGUAAAGAAACCCCGGCUAACUCCGUGCCAGCACGCCGCGAUGAUACGGAGGGGGUUAGCGUUGUUCGGAAUUACUGGGCGUAAAGCGCGCGUAGGCGGACUAGAAAGUUGGGGGUGAAAUCCCGGGGCUCAACCUCGGAACUGCCUUCAAAACUCCUAGUCUAGAGUUCGAGAGAGGUGAGUGGAAUUCCAAGUGUAGAGGUGAAAUUCGUAGAUAUUUGGAGGAACACCAGUGGCGAAGGCGGCUCACUGGCUCGAUACUGACGCUGAGGUGCGAAAGUGUGGGGAGCAAACAGGAUUAGAUACCCUGGUAG
rnacentral:rRNA from 1 species